rnacentral:rRNA from 1 species
AUUGAACGCUGGCGGCAUGCCUUACACAUGCAAGUCGAACGGCAGCACGGGUGCUUGCACCUGGUGGCGAGUGGCGAACGGGUGAGUAAUACAUCGGAACGUACCUUAUCGUGGGGGAUAACGCAGCGAAAGUUGCGCUAAUACCGCAUACGCCCUGAGGGGGAAAGCGGGGGACCGUAAGGCCUCGCGCGAUUAGAGCGGCCGAGGUCUGAGUAGCUUGUUGGUGAGGUAAAAGCUCACCAAGGCGAUGAUCAGUAGCUGGUCUGAGAGGACGAUCAGCCACACUGGGACUGAGACACGGCCCAGACUCCUACGGGAGGCAGCAGUGGGGAAUUUUGGACAAUGGGGGCAACCCUGAUCCAGCAAUGCCGCGUGAGUGAAGAAGGCCUUCGGGUUGUAAAGCUCUUUUGUCAGGGAAGAAACAGCAGCUCUAACACAGUCUGCGAAUGACGGUACCUGAAGAAUAAGCACCGGCUAACUACGUGCCAGCCGCCGCGGUAA